rnacentral:lncRNA from 1 species
AUGCCCUUUUCCAGAGCGCGCUCCGCACACUCUCACGCCCCGCACCGCUCCCUGCUCGCGGCGGGGUGCUCUGGUGGGAGCGCGGCCGUUGGCGGUGAGCCGUUAGGGCAGCGCGUGGCCGUGCGCAGGUGCGCGCGACAGGUGCGGGCGGGCAGUGCUCCACAGCGGGCGGCCCGCGACGCACCGCAACCGGCGCGGCCCUUCUCUGCCGCCGGGCUCCGCGCCGUGCUGACGGCAGGGCUUCCUCUGCUGCAGGCGUCGCCGGACUCCGGCUCUAAAAAGCGACUGCCCUCUCCUCGCGAGCGCUGCGCGGUUUUGGUCUCCUUUGGAAGUGACGUAAGAAGACGGCGGGACUGCUCACCGCAGGGUAGGGAUGAAGCACAAGCACUAGACUUCACGAACAAAUGAGACUUGGGAUGUCAUCUUGUGGUUGUUUGAAGAAAUGCACGAACAUCUU